rnacentral:rRNA from 1 species
GUCUUUUUGAUUAUAAUUUAAAGUCUAACCUGCCCACUGAAUUUUUUGAAGGGCCGCGGUAUUUUGACUGUGCAAAGGUAGCAUAAUCAUUAGUCUUUUAAUUGAAGGCUUGUAUGAAUGGUUGGAUGAGGUAAUAACUGUCUCAAAUUAAUAAAUAAUAAAACUUUAUUUUUAAGUUAAAAAGCUUAAAUAUAAUUAGAGGACGAGAAGACCCUAUAGAUCUUUAUAAAUUAAUAAAUUUUAAUUUUUUAGUUAAAAUAUGUUUUUAUUUGUUAAUUUAUUUUAUUGGGGUGAUAAAAAAAUUUAAAAAACUUUUUUUUUAAUUAAACAAUGAUUUUUGAUUAAUUGAUCCAUUAUUAAUGAUUAAAAGAUUAAGUUACCUUAGGGAUAACAGCGUAAUUUUUUUGAAGAGUUCAUAUCGAUAAAAAAGAUUGCGACCUCGAUGUUGAAUUACAAGGUUAAUUUUAGGUGUAGAAGUUUAAAGUUUUGGUCUGUUCGACCAUUAAAUC